rnacentral:rRNA from 1 species
CCCUUAGAUGUUCUGGGCUGCACGCGUGCUACACUGAUUACUUCAACAAGUGUUUUAACUGGAGAGUUCGCGUAAUCCUGAAAUGUUAUCGUGAUGGGAGUAGAGUAUUGUAUUUGUUAAUCUUUAACGAGGACUUCCUAGUAAGUGUAGGUUUAUCUGUUUUUUUUUUUACGUCCCUGCCCUUUGUACACACCGCCCGUCGCUCCUACCGAUUGAUUGAUCCGGUGAAUUACAUAGAAUUUUGCGUUUUACAUGACGGAAGAUGAAGUGUUUUAAACCUUAUCAUUUAGAGGAAGGAGAAGUCGUGACA